CUGACCCCAUGCCGAACUCAGAAGUGAAACGCCGUAGCGCCGAUGGUAGUGUGGGGUCUCCCCAUGCGAGAGUAGGGAACUGCUAGGC
rnacentral:rRNA from 1 species